rnacentral:rRNA from 1 species
GAUCCUGGCUCAGGAUGAACGCUGGCGGCGUGCCUAACACAUGCAAGUCGAACGGAAUUUACAUGAAGCCUAGCGAUUGUAAAUUUAGUGGCGGACGGGUGAGUAACGCGUGGGUAACCUGCCUUGUACUGGGGACAACAGUUGGAAACGACUGCUAAUACCGCAUAAGCGCACAGCUUCGCAUGAAGCAGUGUGAAAAACUCCGGUGGUACAGACGGACCCGCGUCUGAUUAGCUGGUUGG